rnacentral:tRNA from 1 species
AUUUAAGUAACUUAUAUAGAGUAUAAUAUUGAAGAUAUUAGAGAAGUAAUUUUACUCUUAAAUA